ACUGCUCAGUAACACGUGGACAACCUACCCUCAGAUCUGGGAUAAACCUGGGAAACUGGGUAUAAUACCGGAUAGGUCUUGGAUGCUGGAAUGCACCGAGGCCCAAAGCUCCGGCGUCUGAGGAUGGGUCUGCGGCCUAUCAGGGUAGUAGUGGGUGUAAAGUACCUACUAGCCUACGACGGGUACGGGUCGUGAGAGCGAGAGCCCGGAGAUGGAUUCUGAGACACGAAUCCAGGCCCUACGGGGUGCAGCAGGCGCGAAAACUUUACAAUGCCGGCAACGGCGAUAAGGGGACCUCGAGUGCCAGGAUACAAUCCUGGCUGUCGUAAUGCCUAAAAAGCAUUAUAUAGCAAGGGCCGGGCAAGACCGGUGCCAGCCGCCGCGGUAACACCGGCGGCUCGAGUGGUAACCGCUAUUAUUGGGUCUAAAGGGUCUGUAGCCGGCCUGGUAAGUCUUUUGGGAAAUCCGGCAGCUCAACUGUCGGGCUAUCAGAGGAUACUGCUAGGCUCGAGACCGGGAGAGGUGAGAGGUACUUCAUGGGUAGGGGUGAAAUCUUGUAAUCCUUGAAGGACCACCAGUGGCGAAGGCGUCUCACCAGAACGGAUCUGACGGCAAGGGACGAAAGCUAGGGGCACGAACCGGAUUAGAUACCCGGGUAGUCCUAGCCGUAAACGAUACUCGCUAGGUGUCGGCCACGGUGCGACCGUGGUCGGUGCCGUAGGGAAGCCGUGAAGCGAGCCACCUGGGAAGUACGGCCGCAAGGCUGAAACUUAAAGGAAUUGGCGGGGGAGCAC
rnacentral:rRNA from 1 species